rnacentral:rRNA from 1 species
CCUACGGGUGGCAGCAGUGAGGAAUAUUGGUCAAUGGCCGCAGGGCUGAACCAGCCAAGUCGCGUGAGGGAUGACGGUCCUAUGGAUCGUAAACCUCUUUUGUCAGGGAGCAAAGGCCGCCACGUGUGGCCCUUUGCGAGUACCUGAAGAAAAAGCAUCGGCUAACUCCGUGCCAGCAGCCGCGGUAAUACGGAGGAUGCGAGCGUUAUCCGGAUUUAUUGGGUUUAAAGGGUGCGCAGGCGGAAUGUCAAGUCAGCGGUAAAAUCUCGGGGCUCAACCCCGUCGUGCCGUUGAAACUGGCGUUCUUGAGUGAGCGAGAAGUAUGCGGAAUGCGUGGUGUAGCGGUGAAAUGCAUAGAUAUCGCGCAGAACUCCGAUUGCGAAGGCAGCAUACCGGCGCUCAACUGACGCUCAUGCACGAAAGCGUGGGUAUCGAACAGGAUUAGAUACCCUUGUAGUC